rnacentral:rRNA from 1 species
UACGUAGGUGGCGAGCGUUGUCCGGAAUUACUGGGUGUAAAGGGCGCGUAGGCGGGGCAGCAAGUCAGAUGUGAAAUACCGGGGCUCAACCCCGGGGCUGCAUUUGAAACUGUAGCUCUUGAGUGCAGGAGAGGAAAGCGGAAUUCCUAGUGUAGCGGUGAAAUGCGUAGAGAUUAGGAGGAACACCAGUGGCGAAGGCGGCUUUCUGGACUGUAACUGACGCUGAGGCGCGAAAGCGUGGGGAGCAAACAGG